UUGUAAGUCCAGCAGUCUGUAUUGCUACAAAUCCUCUUCUCAGCGUCCAAACUCAGAAGAAUUCAUAGCAAUACGGACUGCUGGACUUCUAG
rnacentral:pre_miRNA from 1 species